rnacentral:rRNA from 1 species
UACGGAGGGUGCAAGCGUUGUCCGGAUUUAUUGGGUUUAAAGGGUGCGUAGGCGGCCCAUUAAGUCAGCGGUGAAAGUUUAUGGCUCAACCAUGAAAUUGCCGUUGAUACUGGGGGGCUUGAGUGUCGAUGGGGUACAUGGAAUUUAUGGUGUAGCGGUGAAAUGCAUAGAUACCAUAAGGAACACCGAUAGCGAAGGCAUUGUACUUAUCGACAACUGACGCUGAGGCACGAAAGCGCGGGUAGCGAAC